UCCUUCCUUGUCAAGGGGAGCAUAAUAUUCAAUGAACGUUUAGUGAGAGUAUUUAUGCUGACACCAUUUAUUUGAAUAAACCCCGUACAUUUUGUCUAAAGUGUAUGGAAUUUUUGGAAAA
rnacentral:ncRNA from 1 species